GCCAGCAGCUAGCUCUCUGCAGCUCUCACAUGGUAGCCCACUGAAGCUAAGUAGGGCUGCGCCUGGUCAGUACAUGGAUAGGAGACCACAUGGGAAAGCUAGGUUGCUGCCGGAA
rnacentral:rRNA from 1 species